GACCACCUACGGGGGGCAGCAGUGAGGAAUAUUGGUCAAUGGGCGGGAGCCUGAACCAGCCAAGUCGCGUGAGGGAAGACGGUCCUAUGGAUUGUAAACCUCUUUAGGCGGGGAGCAAUGCCGGGCACGCGUGCCCGGAGGGAGAGUACCCGCAGAAUAAGCAUCGGUUAACUCCGUGCCAGCAGCCGCGGUAAUACGGAGGAUGCGAGCGUUAUCCGGAUUUAUUGGGUUUAAAGGGUGCGCAGGCGGGAGAUCAAAUCCGCGGGAAAAUGUCGGGG
rnacentral:rRNA from 1 species